AGAGCCCAAGUCACAAGUCCCUGGUGCAGGGGCAGCCUGGCCAGAGGUCGUUGGCUCCACGCUGACACGGACACGAGUCUUCUGCUCCCUGUCAUGUCCUCCUCUCUCCUUCCGGAGUCCGUGCUGUAUUUGUCUCUGUCCAUCAGUUCGACAAAUUCCCACCAUUGGCUGCUUUCUGCCUUCCUUCCCUAUUGACUUCUGUCUCCUGGAUUCAGUAACGAGAGCAUAGAAAAUAGCAGAAAGAGUACAGGCCAAUCCACCUCCCAGAGCCUCACCUAGCUGCCGCGUCAACUUCAUGGGAGAUUGUAGAAACCCAAUUCAUGUUUGCCUUGCAGACCAGAUCGAACUUAUGGCUUCCCGAGUCAUGAUGUCUGUCCUUCAAAGGCUAAACAGCAAAGAGAACCUGCAGCAUGAAAAGACCCCUGCACUGAUCCAUGGAGACUAGAAUUCGCUGGUGGGAGGGGGAGAAACAUCUUAGCUCCACAGGAAAUGUACUGUUAAAGAUUUGCCUACUGAUCCAGCCAC